AGGGAAUUUUGCGCAAUGGACGAAAGUCUGACGCAGCAACACCGUGUGAGGGAUGAAGCAUUUCGGUGUGUAAACCUCUGUCGAUGAUGAAUAAAGCAUGUGGGAGUGGAAAGCCCAUGUGUUGAAGGUAAUCAUGAAGGAAGCACCGGCUAACUCUGUGCCAGCAGCCGCGGUAAUACAGGGGGUGCAAGCGUUGUUCGGAAUCACUGGGCGUAAAGGGAGCGUAGGCGGGACUACAAGACAGAGGUCAAAUCUCCGGGCUCAACCUGGAACUUGCCUUUGUGACUGUAGCCCUUGAGUAUGGUAGAGGUUGGCGGAAUUUCCGGUGUAGCGGUGGAAUGCGUAGAGAUCGGAAAGAACACCAGAGGCGAAGGCGGCCAACUGGACCAAUACUGACGCUGAGGCUCGAAAGCGUGGGGAGCAAAC
rnacentral:rRNA from 1 species